UUUUUCCUUGCAGGGCCCAGCUGAACAUGCUCACACAAGUCUUUGGAAGAUGUAUCAUCUUAUACAGAUAUGACUACUGGGGAAGAACAAAAGAGAAGCAUGCAUUCCCAUUUGGCUACAGACCCCAUCACUGCAUUUCAACUUUCACCCUUGUGUUCUUGUUAUCUGACCAGCCCCUGAGGCAUUUCAAGUUGCCACCCUUCGCCUAGGAAUGAUCUACAUAAUCCCUUUCAAUUCUAAAAUUUGGAUUCUGUCGUGUUUCAAAGAAAUACACGAUUUAUGCUUCACUCUGCA